rnacentral:lncRNA from 1 species
CGGGAGUGCCGCUAAAAGUAUCGCGCGAUUAAGACUGAGAGGAGGAGGAGGCCUAGGAGAGGCAUCAGGCUCCGGCAAAGCAACCUUCUGAUGUAACCAACCCAGAUGAUCUGAGAGGAGGAGCAGGCCUAGGAAAGGCAUCUUGCACCAGCGGAACAACCUGAUGACAACAUAGCUUCAAUAUCAAUUCCGCUGUUGCGCAUCAGUGCCGGUAAGUGACAACUUUUUAUUUUGAAGCAAAGGAUUUGUAAAUGCAUGAAGAAAUCCGUUGCUUCUAACUCUUGAUUGGCGGGACAAUACGUGUAAAAAUUAAAGUAAAAGAAAAAAUAUUUGUAAAAUAACAAUAG